CAACGUAGGUAAUCUACCUUCGGAUGGGGAAUAACAACCGGAAACGGUUGCUAAUACCGCAUAAUGCAGCGGCACCUAAUGGUGACAGUUGUUAAAGCGGGGGAUUGAAAGACCUCGCGUCUGAAGAGGAGCCUGCGGCGGAUUAGCUAGUUGGUAAGGUAACGGCUUACCAAGGCGACGAUCCGUAGCCGGCCUGAGAGGGCGGUCGGCCACACUGACACUGACAUACGGGUCAG
rnacentral:rRNA from 1 species